rnacentral:rRNA from 1 species
UACGAAGGGGGCUAGCGUUGCUCGGAAUUACUGGGCGUAAAGCGCACGUAGGCGGCUUUCUAAGUCGGGGGUGAAAUCCUGGAGCUCAACUCCAGAACUGCCUUCGAUACUGGAAAGCUCGAGUCCGGGAGAGGUGAGUGGAACUGCGAGUGUAGAGGUGAAAUUCGUAGAUAUUCGCAAGAACACCAGUGGCGAAGGCGGCUCACUGGCCCGGUACUGACGCUGAGGCGCAAAAGCGGUGGGGAGCGAACAGG